CCUCUUUCCUUGACUAGUUGGAGCCUCAGUUCCUUGGGGUGUACAAUGGGAACAAUAAUGGCCUCUUCCCACUACCUGGUGACGGCUAGCACAAUCCAGGGAGACAUUGGCUGUGAGGUCUGGGAUGAACCACCAAGCGCUCCACGUUAAUUAUUAUUAUUACCUCUGCCUGACUGACGAAAGAAGCGGGGAAGGAUGCCACAGGAUCAGACAGGCCUGUGGAGAUCAGGCCUCAGGGAAGACUGUGCUGAAAAUCAGGGUAAGGAUCUGAUGCAAAGGAUUCCAGAGCUGCCAUAAAGAUGGAACACAGAGCCUUGGCCCUGAGACGGAAAGAGUGGGACCAUGUGUUCUGGAAUGGAGACAUUUAGGUAAAUGAACCCAAACAUCUUGAAACUCCAAAUUCCCUUCCCAAAGGAGCAGCACCUCACCUUUGCCAGAGGAGACUAGACUGUACUUGUCUGGAGGACAUGCAAUGAUCUCACUUAAAGCAGUUUCUUCACAAGAUGAUGCUUGUCCUCCAGAAGACAAGCUCACCUCCGCUAACCCUCCUUGUCUCCAGACUGAUAGCCAAAGUCAGGUCUCAACAAGCUCAGAUGGAGAAGCAGAAUCCACGUUUUA
rnacentral:lncRNA from 1 species